rnacentral:rRNA from 1 species
UUGCUGGUGUGGAUGAGUGGCGAACGGGUGAGUAAUACGUGAGUAACCUGCCCUUGACUCUGGGAUAAGCCCGGGAAACUGGGUCUAAUACUGGAUGCUACAUGUCACCGCAUGGUGGUGUGUGGAAAGGGUUUACUGGUCUUGGAUGGGCUCACGGCCUAUCAGCUUGUUGGUGAGGUAAUGGCUCACCAAGGCGACGACGGGUAGCCGGCCUGAGAGGGUGACCGGCCACACUGGGACUGAGACACGGCCCAGACUCCUACGGGAGGCAGCAGUGGGGAAUAUUGCACAAUGGGCGAAAGCCUGAUGCAGCGACGCCGCGUGAGGGAUGACGGCCUUCGGGUUGUAAACCUCUUUCAGCAGGGAAGAAGCCACAAGUGACGGUACCUGCAGAAGAAGCGCCGGCUAACUACGUGCCAGCAGCCGCGGUAAUACGUAGGGCGCAAGCGUUGUCCGGAAUUAUUGGGCGUAAAGAGCUCGUAGGCGGUUUGUCGCGUCUGCUGUGAAAGCCCGGGGCUUAACCCCGGGUGUGCAGUGGGUACGGGCAGACUAGAGUGCAGUAGGGGAGACUGGAAUUCCUGGUGUAGCGGUGGAAUGCGCAGAUAUCAGGAGGAACACCGAUGGCGAAGGCAGGUCUCUGGGCUGUUACUGACGCUGAGGAGCGAAAGCAUGGGGAGCGAACAGGAUUAGAUACCCUGGUAGUCCAUGCCGUAAACGUUGGGCACUAGGU